AGCACCCGUGCCGUGCCCGUCCCCGUGCCCGUGCCGUGCCCGUCCCCGUGCCCGUGCCGCGGUGCCGCGGGGGCUGCAGCUCCGCGCAGCAGCGAAUCCUCCCGCAGAGAAGAGAGAGUAAAAAUAGCAGCGGGUUGAGGGAAGAAGAGCUCGCCCCCCGCCAGCGGGCAGCGGCGAGGAGCCUGAGCGCACCGCGGAGCCCGCGGCGCGGCGUCACGGGGGCAGAGGGUGCGGGGAUGGACCGCGGGACAAGGUGCCACGGGGACAGGACCCUCCUGGGACAGGACACCGCAGGGACAGGGCCUGGCGGGGACAAACACACCGUGGGGACGAUCGCACGGCCCAAGGCUGGCAGGACAGGGGUGGCCGCGUCCCCAGCACGACGAGGAGGAGGAGGAAGAAGAGGAGGAGGA